rnacentral:lncRNA from 1 species
AAAAAACUGGAAUUAGAUCUUGGAAAUGAUCGACUCAAAUAGAUGCUCAUCAUAAGCUUUUUUUUUCCUCCUCUUCGUGUUCUAUUGAUCAGAAGCAUCCAGCAGCGCCACGCCAGUAGAAAGAGUCUUGCUACUAAGCUAAGCUGCUGUUGGGGAACUCGGUAUAAGCGAUUUUCCGCUUCCGCCUUUCUAGGCUUCACAAUAGCUCCCCCUUUUCUUUUCCAAUUCCUUCUUUUCGUUCACUCAUCUUCGUGUUCUAUUGAUCAGAAGCAUCCAGUAUUGCCACGCUAGUAGAAAGAGUGUUGCUACUAAGCUAAGUUGCUGUUGGGGAACUCGGUAUAAGCGAUUUUCCGCGUCCGCCUUUCUAGGCUUCACAAUAGCUCCCCCUUUUCUUUUACAAUUCCUUCUUUUCGUUCUACUUAGGU